rnacentral:sRNA from 1 species
CGAAUAGGGCAUACCCUGUUUUUAUUCGGUAUAAUGUGGGAUCGUUGGGUUCGAGCUAGUAGUGCAGUCUGUCUGUCAUUCCUUUCUUGCUUCUUCAAACGAUCUAAACGGGCGCAAGCCCAACUUAACUGAAAUAGGAAAUUGUAAUGGCAACUGGCAUCGUAAAAUGGUUCAAUGACUCGAAGGGCUUCGGCUUCAUCACCCCGGACGAAGGCGGCGAAGAUCUGUUUGCACACUUCUCGGCUAUCCAGAGCACCGGCUUCAAGUCGCUGCAGGAAAACCAGCGCGUCUCGUUCGACGUGACCACUGGCCCGAAGGGCAAGCAGGCUGCGAACAUCCAGCCUCUGUAAUACCUGCGCAUAGCGCCGCGCGCAUAGCGCCAUAGAAAAUCCCCGGACCAGCCGGGGAUUUUUUU